rnacentral:rRNA from 1 species
AAAGGAAGAAGAUCUAAGAAUGCUUCUUUAAGAAGCUUUCUUGAUGGAGGGGAGUGGCAGACGGGUGAGUAACGCGUGGGAACAUACCCUUUUCUACGGAAUAGCUCUGGGAAACUGGAAUUAAUACCGUAUACGCCCUACGGGGGAAAGAUUUAUCGGGGAAGGAUUGGCCCGCGUUGGAUUAGCUAGUUGGUGGGGUAAAGGCCUACCAAGGCGACGAUCCAUAGCUGGUCUGAGAGGAUGAUCAGCCACAUUGGGACUGAGACACGGCCCAAACUCCUACGGGAGGCAGCAGUGGGGAAUAUUGGACAAUGAGCGCAGGCCUGAUCCAGCCAUGCCGCGUGAGUGAUGAAGGCCUUAGGGUUGUAAAGCUCUUUCACCGGAGAAGAUAAUGACGGUAUCCGGAGAAGAAGCCCCGGCUAACUUCGUGCCAGCCGCCGCCGUAAGAC